GACGAACGCUGGCGGCGUGCUUAACACAUGCAAGUCGAACGGAAAGGCCCUGCUUUUGUGGGGUGCUCGAGUGGCGAACGGGUGAGUAACACGUGAGUAACCUGCCCUUGACUUUGGGAUAACUUCAGGAAACUGGGGCUAAUACCGGAUAGGAGCUCCCGCUGCAUGGUGGGGGCUGGAAAGUUUCGGCGGUUGGGGAUGGACUCGCGGCUUAUCAGCUUGUUGGGGGGGUAGUGGCUUACCAAGGCUUUGACGGGUAGCCGGCCUGAGAGGGUGACCGGCCACAUUGGGACGGAGCUGCGGCCCAGACUCCUACGGGAGGCAGCAGUGGAGAAUAUUGCACAAUGGGCGGAAGCCUGAUGCAGCAACGCCGCGUGCGGGAUGACGGCAUUCGGGUUGUAAUCCGCUUUCGCCUGUGACGAAGCGUGAGUGACGGUAAUGGGUAAAGAAGCACCGGCUAACUACGUG
rnacentral:rRNA from 1 species